rnacentral:rRNA from 1 species
GACGAACGCUGGCGGCGUGCUUAACACAUGCAAGUCGAACGGAAAGGCCCUGCUUUUGUGGGGUGCUCGAGUGGCGAACGGGUGAGUAACACGUGAGUAACCUGCCCUUGACUUUGGGAUAACUUCAGGAAACUGGGGCUAAUACCGGAUAGGAGCUCCUGCUGCAUGGUGGGGGUUGGAAAGUUUCGGCGGUUGGGGAUGGACUCGCGGCUUAUCAGCUUGUUGGUGGGGUAGUGGCUUACCAAGGCUUUGACGGGUAGCCGGCCUGAGAGGGUGACCGGCCACAUUGGGACUGAGAUACGGCCCAGACUCCUACGGGAGGCAGCAGUGGGGAAUAUUGCACAAUGGGCGGAAGCCUGAUGCAGCAACGCCGCGUGCGGGAUGACGGCCUUCGGGUUGUAAACCGCUUUCGCCUGUGACGAAGCGUGAGUGACGGUAAUGGGUAAAGAAGCACCGGCUAACUACGUGCCAGCAGCCGCGGUGAUACGUAGGGUGCGAGCGUUGUCCGGAUUUAUUGGGCGUAAAGGGCUCGUAGGUGGUUGAUCGCGUCGGAAGUGUAAUCUUGGGGCUUAACCCUGAGCGUGCUUUCGAUACGGGUUGACUUGAGGAAGGUAGGGGAGAAUGGAAUUCCUGGUGGAGCGGUGGAAUGCGCAGAUAUCAGGAGGAACACCAGUGGCGAAGGCGGUUCUCUGGGCCUUUCCUGACGCUGAGGAGCGAAAGCGUGGGGAGCGAACAGGCUUAGAUACCCUGGUAGUCCACGCUGUAAACGGUGGGUACUAGGUGUGGGGUCCAUUCCACGGGUUCCGUGCCGUAGCUAACGCUUUAAGUACCCCGCCUGGGGAGUACGGCCGCAAGGCUAAAACUCAAAGGAAUUGACGGGGCCCCGCACAAGCGGCGGAGCAUGCGGAUUAAUUCGAUGCAACGCGUAGAACCUUACCUGGGUUUGACAUGGAUCGGGAGUGCUCAGAGAUGGGUGUGCCUCUUUUGGGGUCGGUUCACAGGUGGUGCAUGGCUGUCGUCAGCUCGUGUCGUGAGAUGUUGGGUUAAGUCCCGCAACGAGCGCAACCCUUGUUCACUGUUGCCAGCACGUUAUGGUGGGGACUCAGUGGAGACCGCCGGGGUCAACUCGGAGGAAGGUGGGGAUGACGUCAAGUCAUCAUGCCCCUUAUGUCCAGGGCUUCACGCAUGCUACAAUGGCUGGUACAGAGAGUGGCGAGCCUGUGAGGGUGAGCGAAUCUCGGAAAGUCGGUCUCAGUUCGGAUUGGGGUCUGCAACUCGACCUCAUGAAGUCGGAGUCGCUAGUAAUCGCAGAUCAGCAACGCUGCGGUGAAUACGUUCCCGGG